rnacentral:tRNA from 1 species
CGGGGCAUAGUGUAGCGGCCAACAUGCUCGCUUUGGGAGUGAGUGAUCCUCGGUUCGAAUCCGAGUGCCCCGACCA